rnacentral:sRNA from 1 species
AGAAAAGUAGGUGCCGCCCCGCACAGGGGCAACGCUAAUAGACCACUAGCAACACAAGAAAAGGCCAAAACAACAACAAAACCACACCCCAGAGCCUCGC